GCCGGUCUUCGUCACCGUGGGCAAUCACGACGUGCCCUAUUGGGACGUGAUGGCGCGGCUGUUCUGGCCGUGGCGGGCGUUCGAACGCGCGACCGGCC
rnacentral:tRNA from 1 species